GGAUUAAUGGUAGGGGAGCAUUCCGCUCUGCGUUGAAGGUGAGGCGUGAGCCUUGCUGGAGCGUGCGGAAAAGCAAAUGUAGGAAUAAGUAACGAUAAAGGGGGUGAGAAACCCCCUCGCCGAAAGACUCAGGAUUCCUGAUCAACGCUAAUCGGAUCAGGGUUAGUCGGGACCUAAGGCUCAUCCGAAUGGAGAGGCCGAUGGCAGAACGGGUUAACAUUCCCGUACUGCCUGUAUGAGCGAUGUGGAGACGGAGCAGUGAAAGCGCCGCGUACUGACGGAAUAGUACGUUGAAGGGUGUAGACGUUGACGGUGGCAGGCAAAUCCACCACCGGAGUCGAACCUGAUAGUACCGCGAGCCCUUGUGGUGAGUGGAUAGUGCGUGUAAUCAGCUUCCAAGAAAAUCCGCUAAGCGUUAAUCAUGCAGGCACCCGUACCGCAAACGGACACACGUAGUCGGGUAGAGCAUACUAAGGCGCUCGGGUGAUUCACGGUUAAGGAAUUAGGCAAAAUAGCCCCGUAACUUCGGGAGAAGGGGCGCCAGCGCGAGCUGGCCGCAGAGAAAUGGAGAGGGCGACUGUUUAACAAAAACACAGGGCUAUGCUAAAUCGCAAGAUGAUGUAUAUGGCCUGACACCUGCCCGGUGCCGGAAGGUUAAGAGGAGAGCUCAUCGCAAGAGAAGGCUUGAAUUGAAGCCCCGGUAAACGGCGGCCGUAACAAUAACGGUCCUAAGGUAGCGAAAUUCCUUGUCGGGUAAGUUCCGACCUGCACGAAUGGUGUAACGAUCUUCUCACUGUCUCAACCGUGAGCCCGGUGAAAUUGUAGUAUCGGUGAAGAUGCCGAUUACCCGCAACGGGACGGAAAGACCCCGUGAACCUUUACUGCAGCUUAACAUUGCAUUUGGGCAACCGAUGUGUAGGAUAGGCCGGAGGCUGUGAAUCGGGUACGCUAGUAUUCGUGGAGCCGACGUUGAAAUACGGCCCUUUGGUUGUUUGAGUUCUAACCCGCGAUAGCGGGGACACUGUUUGGUGGGUAGUUUGACUGGGGUGGUCGCCUCCAAAAGCGUAACGGAGGCUCCUAAAGGUGCGCUCAGGACGAUUGGUAACCGUCCGUAGCGUGUAAUGGCAUAAGCGCGCUUGACUGAGAGACCGACAAGUCGAUCAGGUGGGAAACCAGAGCAUAGUGAUCCGGUGGUUCCGUAUGGAAGGGCCAUCGCUCAAAGGAUAAAAGGUACUCCGGGGAUAACAGGCUGAUCAUUCCCAAGAGCUCAUAUCGACGGAAUGGUUUGGCACCUCGAUGUCGGCUCGUCACAUCCUGGGGCUGGAGAAGGUCCCAAGGGUUCGGCUGUUCGCCGAUUAAAGUGGCACGCGAGCUGGGUUCAGAACGUCGUGAGACAGUUCGGUCCCUAUCUGUUGUGGGCGUAGGAGAUUUGCGGAGUUCUGACACUAGUACGAGAGGACCGUGUUGGACUGACCUCUGGUUUACCGGUUGUUCCGCCAGGAGCACCGCCGGGUAGCCACGUCGGGAUCGGAUAAGUGCUGAAAGCAUCUAAGCACGAAGCCGGCUUCAAGAUGAGAUCUCCCUUAAGGGUCGUUGGAGAUUACGACGUUGAUAGGCCGCAGGUGUACAGCCAGUAAUGGCAAAGCCGAGCGGUACUAAUUGCCC
rnacentral:rRNA from 1 species